GUAAUAUUUCCAGCAUGGCUUGAGUGUAUUAAUCACUUGUUAAUUUUGGAAGCUGCUGAAUCAACACAACCUCCUCCACCUCUCAUUUUCAACUUCAAUAAGACGCUGCGGGCCUUGGUGACAACAGAACUGUCCCCAGAACCGUUGACCCUGCCAACAAUAACAACCACUGAGCUCACGGUCUCCUGGGCACGGGCACAACUCUGCAUGGAUUUGUGGUAUUCUGGAUUUCCAAAAAUAUACGUUGCGGUUUUUCAAAA